AAUUAAAUAUUAAAAUUAAAAAAAAUCAUUACAUUACAAUAUUACUUGCAUUUUUUUAUUUUGUAACUAAAUAUGAAAAUAAAAUGAUGAUUAUAUUGCAUCAUUCAUUUCAUUAUUAUAUAAUUAAUUACAUUACAUCGUAAUACUUUCUACCAAAUGUAACAUCUACCAAAUGUAACAUGGCUGAUUAAACAAGUGAUUUGUCCAGCAAAAGUAGAAUUAAACAUCACCAAAUAUCCCCGCUUAUUUUCCCUCCAUGGUGUGAUUUUCUACGACCUCUGGUUCUUGGAGAAGAAUCGAAGAGUUAUGUAGAAAAACAUCCUGUAUAGAACUGCCCAACCCAACAUCACGAGCACCUUCUCCCACUUCUCUGAUUCUUUGGUACUAAUAUUGAGUGAUUUUAAGAUGGAAUUGCCACUUAUAGGAUCCCCAUUUGGAGCAUAGCCAAAAAUAUCUGUUGUCUGGUACUGGUUCAUCAAUAGCCCUUCAUAUGGAUAUGUCAUAGUGGAAAUCUUGUUCAUCCACUUCCAAUAUAUGGGAAUAUCAUGGCUAUUCAAGAAGUAUCCACAGAACAAGAAAAAGAGAGCAGUGAAGGCAAUUACAGCUGCAUAACCCAGAAUAAAAUUUGGCACCACUGAGCUCACAAACACCACAAAUGAGUUGGUGGAGAGAAGGGAAACAUAGAGAACGAGCAAGAAAUAGUAGAACGGUCCGCGCAGCUUUAAGGCUUUCCAAACAAUAGCAGCAUAAACACCAGAUUGGAGUGCAAGAAAGGGAAGGUAAGUGAUGAGGCCAGAAAUGGUGUAAGAAGAGGCUCUAUAGGCAUUGUGGGAAGUUUCGCGGAUGAAAAUAAAACGUUCUUGGAUAAAGGCAGGAACAGCAUCAUUGGAAGAGAAGAAGAAGAGACAAACAGUGAAAAUGAAGAAACUAAGACGAUUGGUGAUUCCUUGAGAAUUAUCUUUAGGGUUCAAGAACAUGGUUGCCAUCAUGAAGCCCAUAGUGGUUAGGACCACGAGUCUUGAAACGAAAAGCUCAGGGGUUCUUCUAAUGUUCUUGAAGUUUCGGCGCAUAAGAAUCCAAG
rnacentral:misc_RNA from 1 species